rnacentral:lncRNA from 1 species
GUCGGUCGAUUUCGAACAGACGCUAAAUUCAUUUUAUUUUGCCAAUUUCAGCGUCGUUUGUCAACCGUUGAUCGACGCAAAAUCCUUAAAAUGACCGACUGACUCUAAAUAACCGUUAUCUAGUUCUCAACUUGUUGUGACUCAAAAUAACCGUUAUCUAGUUCUCAACUUGUUGUGCUAGAUUGGUUGUGGCAAUAUCAGAUGUGAUAGUCAUUUAGGCUGGAGCCGUUGCCAGCAGUUGACGGAGGUUUUGUG